rnacentral:lncRNA from 1 species
CUCUGGCCCCGCCCCUGACGGUUCCGGGCCCCGCGAAGCUUAGUCCCUUCUUUGUCAAGCCAGGACCCGCCCACGGUCUAUUCAUAGGGUCCCAAACCACUUUGGCCACAACACCCCCAGACUGGUCCGAAGCCUCGUGAGUUCGCCCUGGUCGUUGCACUCCAGCCUGUCGCUGUGCAGACCUGGCUUAGAGGACCCCUAAGGCUGAGGGGUCACUUCCAGAACUGAGUCCGGUCCGCAGGUUCUGCUACGCUCCAGCCAGCCCCUAACUGGUCCCCAGAAGCGGCGCUGCUACAGGGACCAGGAGCUGCUGCGAACUGCGCUGGCGGGGGCUCGUCCUUGGGCGCGGGGCUUCAUCAUGGACACGCUCUCGGCCCAGGCCGCGAAACAAGCCCGCGUGACUGGCGGAGGCACAGAGACCAAGGCCGCUUAACCUGGCUGGUUGCACUGGUCCCUGGAGAGCACUGAGCACAGGGGCUGCCACAGUGGCCGGCUCAGACAUGGCAGAGAUCAGCAGAGAAUGGGCAAUCAGGCUCCCCUGAGAUGAGCAGCAGCGCAGAGGAGGUGCCCCUCUCUUACUACACCAACUUCAGAUGCCGUGUGAAGGGAGGACUCAGAUGCACUCCCUGUGGUCUGGGCUCAACCAGCCAAAAGAGCAACAAAGACUCCAGAACCCACUCUACCUCCUCAAUCCCUUGGCCAUCUGUGGAGCCCCAGAGCCUGCGGCUGUGGCAAGGCCUGUUUCUGCGCUGGACCUGCUCACCUGAGCCUGCAGAAGCUGCAUGGGGGAAGAGUGUGGCAAAUAGUGACAGGAAGGGAGAAGACAGAAGCCUCUCAGCCAACUGCUUCAGCCGAGCCCCUAUUCUAAGCACUGGCUCCUUGGAUAGCAGCUGAGAUGUUCCUGAAACCUCUGCAGGCCCCUUAGGACCUUUACACCUUGGAUGAGGGUGCCUGCAACCCAGGUUAGCCAAAAGUACUGAGGGUCUUAAGUUUGAAGUGUCCAAAGUAUAGGGAGGUCUCAAUAAUAAAAGUCUCCAUGAUCA